UACGGGAGGCAGCAGUGGGGAACAUUGCACAAUGGGCGCAAGCCUGAUGCAGCCAUGCCGCGUGUAUGAAGAAGGCCUUCGGGUUGUAAAGUACUUUCAGCGAGGAGGAAGGCGACAAGGUUAAUAACCUUGUUGAUUGACGUUACCCGCAGAAGAAGCACCGGCUAACUCCGUGCCAGCAGCCGCGGUAAUAAU
rnacentral:rRNA from 1 species